rnacentral:rRNA from 1 species
ACGGGUGAGUAAUGUCUGGGGAUCUGCCCGAUAGAGGGGGAUAACCACUGGAAACGGUGGCUAAUACCGCAUAACGUCGCAAGACCAAAGAGGGGGACCUUCGGGCCUCUCACUAUCGGAUGAACCCAGAUGGGAUUAGCUAGUAGGCGGGGUAAUGGCCCACCUAGGCGACGAUCCCUAGCUGGUCUGAGAGGAUGACCAGCCACACUGGAACUGAGACACGGUCCAGACUCCUACGGGAGGCAGCAGUGGGGAAUAUUGCACAAUGGGCGCAAGCCUGAUGCAGCCAUGCCGCGUGUAUGAAGAAGGCCUUCGGGUUGUAAAGUACUUUCAGCGGGGAGGAAGGCGAUGUGGUUAAUAACCGCAUCGAUUGACGUUACCCGCAGAAGAAGCACCGGCUAACUCCGUGCCAGCAGCCGCGGUAAUACGGAGGGUGCAAGCGUUAAUCGGAAUUACUGGGCGUAAAGCGCACGCAGGCGGUCUGUUAAGUCAGAUGUGAAAUCCCCGGGCUUAACCUGGGAACUGCAUUUGAAACUGGCAGGCUUGAGUCUUGUAGAGGGGGGUAGAAUUCCAGGUGUA